rnacentral:rRNA from 1 species
AUUGAACGCUGGCGGCAGGCCUAACACAUGCAAGUCGAACGAGUGGCGGACGGGUGAUUAAUGUCUGGGAAACUGCCUGAUGGAGGGGGAUAACUACUGGAAACGGUAGCUAAUACCGCAUACCAUCGGAUGUUCCCAGAUGGGAUGAGCUAGUAGGUGUGGUAACGGCUCACCUAGGCGACUAUCCCUCGCUGGUCUGAGAGUAUGACCAUCAACACUGGAACUGAGAAACGGUCCAGACUCCUACGGUGGGCAGCAGGGGGGAAUAUUGCACAAUGGGCGCAAGCCUGAUGCAGCCAUGCCGCGUGUAUGAAGAAGGCCUUCGGGUUGUAAAGUACUUUCAGCGGGGAGGCGUUACCCGCAGAAGAAGCCCUGGCUAACUCCGUGCCAGCAGCCGCGGUAAUAC